GAUGAACGCUAGCGGGAGGCUUAACACAUGCAAGUCGAGGGGCAGCACGAGAUAGCAAUAUUUUGGUGGCGACCGGCGCACGGGUGAGUAACGCGUAUGCAACCUACCUUGUACAGGGGGAUAACUCGGAGAAAUCCGGACUAAUACCCCAUAAUGAUAUUGAGAGGCAUCUUUUGAUAUUUAAAGUUCCGACGGUACAGGAUGGGCAUGCGUAACAUUAGCUAGUUGGUAAGGUAACGGCUUACCAAGGCUACGAUGUUUAGGGGACCUGAGAGGGUGAUCCCCCACACUGGUACUGAGACACGGACCAGACUCCUACGGGAGGCAGCAGUGAGGAAUAUUGGUCAAUGGGCGCAAGCCUGAACCAGCCAUCCCGCGUGCAGGAAGACGGCGCUAUGCGUUGUAAACUGCUUUUCCAGGGGGAGAAUGAUUUUGAUGUAUCGAGAUUUGACGGUACCCUGGGAAUAAGCAUCGGCUAACUCCGUG
rnacentral:rRNA from 1 species